AGUGGCGGACGGGUGAGUAACGCGUGAGAAUCUGCCUUGGGGUCGGGGACAACCACUGGAAACGGUGGCUAAUACCGGAUAAGCCGAUUGGUGAAAGAUUUAUUGCCCGAAGAGGAGCUCGCGUCUGAUUAGCUAGUUGGUGAGGUAAGAGCUCACCAAGGCAGCGAUCAGUAGCUGGUCUGAGAGGACGAUCAGCCACACUGGGACUGAGACACGGCCCAGACUCCUACGGGAGGCAGCAGUGGGGAAUUUUCCGCAAUGGGCGAAAGCCUGACGGAGCAAGACCGCGUGAGGGAGGAAGGCUCUUGGGUUGUAAACCUCUUUUCUCAGGGAAGAAGCUCUGACGGUACCUGAGGAAUCAGCCUCGGCUAACUCCGUGCCAGCAGCCGCGGUAAUACGGAGGAGGCAAGCGUUAUCCGGAAUUAUUGGGCGUAAAGCGUCCGCAGUUGGCGAUUCAAGUCUGCUGUCAAAGCACGGGGCUUAACUCCGUAAAGGCAGUGGAAACUGAAUAGCUAGAGUGCCGUAGGGGUAGAGGGAAUUCCCGGUGUAGCGGUGAAAUGCGUAGAGAUCGGGAAGAACAUCGGUGGCGAAAGCGCUCUACUGGACGGCAACUGACACUCAGGGACGAAAGCUAGGGGAGCGAAUGGGAUUAGAUACCCC
rnacentral:rRNA from 1 species